AGAGUUUGAUCCUGGCUCAGGAGUGAACGCUAGCUACAGGCUUAACACAUGCAAGUCGAGGGGAAACGACAUCGAAAGCUUGCUUUUGAUGGGCGUCGACCGGCGCACGGGUGAGUAACGCGUAUCCAACCUGCCCACCACUUGGGGAUAACCUUGCGAAAGUAAGACUAAUACCCAAUGACGUCUCUAGAAGACAUCUGAAAGAGAUUAAAAGAUUUAUCGGUGAUGGAUGGGGAUGCGUCUGAUUAGCUUGUUGGCGGGGUAACGCCGGGGGACCAAGGCUACGAUCAGUAGGGGUUCUGAGAGGAAGGUCCCCCACAUUGGAACUGAGACACGGUCCAAACUCCUACGGGAGGCA
rnacentral:rRNA from 1 species